AGACGAACCGUACAAACGUUAUUCGGAAUCACUGGGCUUAAAGGGUGCGUAGGCGGCAUGGCAAGUUGGGUGUGAAAGCCCUCGGCUCAACCGAGGAAUGGCAAGGUAUACUGCUCGGCUUGAGGCGGGUAGGGGUGCCUGGAACUCUAGGUGGAGCGGUGAAAUGCGUUGAUAUCUAGAGGAACGCCUGUGGCGAAAGCGGGGCACUGGGCCCGUCCUGACGCUGAGACGCGAAAGCGUAGGUAGCGAACGGGAUUAGAAACCCCAGUAGUCC
rnacentral:rRNA from 1 species